UACGUAGGGUGCGAGCGUUGUCCGGAAUUAUUGGGCGUAAAGAGCUCGUAGGCGGUUUGUCGCGUCGACUGUGAAAACUGGGGGCUUAACUCUCAGCUUGCAGUUGAUACGGGCAGACUUGAGUUCGGUAGGGGAGACUGGAAUUCCUGGUGUAGCGGUGGAAUGCGCAGAUAUCAGGAGGAACACCGGUGGCGAAGGCGGCUCGCUGGGCCAGAUCCGACACUCAUCCGCGAAAGCGUGGGGAGCAAACAGG
rnacentral:rRNA from 1 species